rnacentral:rRNA from 1 species
GGCUUUGUCCUGUGACUGCGUACCUUUUGUAUAAUGGGUCAGCGACUUAUAUUCAGUGGCAAGGUUAACCAUCUAGGGGAGCCGUAGGGAAACCGAGUCUUAACUGGGCGUUCAGUCUCUGGAUAUAGACCCGAAACCAGGUGAUCUAGCCAUGGGCAGGUUGAAGGUUGAGUAACAUCAACUGGAGGACCGAACCGACUAAUGUUGAAAAAUUAGCGGAUGACUUGUGGCUAGGGGUGAAAGGCCAAUCAAACCUGGAGAUAGCUGGUUCUCCCCGAAAGCUAUUUAGGUAGCGCCUCGGACGAAUACUACUGGGGGUAGAGCACUGUUAAGGCUAGGGGGUCAUCCCGACUUACCAACCCUUUGCAAACUCCGAAUACCAGUAAGUACUAUCCGGGAGACACACGGCGGG